GGGGACCUCCGUUGCUAUGUAGUGGGAAGCCAUCGCGGCCCAGAGGAAACUUUCCUCUGGAGGACUGUUUCCUCUGGAGCUUGAGUGGCUGCUGUAAGCAUCGUUCAAAGAUGAUCGGUCGGUCUUCAAUGCUACAAGGAGACAGGAAGUCUGCGUGCCAGUCUGCCUCAGAGCUCACUUCAGGCUUCUUGUGUGUCCGAUGUAGGAUGCUGUUGUAAGAUACUCACACCAAACUCUUGUUGUUUAAAACGGCAGCAUAUCUGACCUGUAACUUUGGAUCCAGAAUAGACUUUUACUGCUUCCGCUUCUCCUAAUUUGGCUCAAGAUGUUUGGUGUCACCAAAAUGAUUUUCGGAUUAACUAGUCUCUCCUUGAAUAUUGUAAACAUUAAUUAUUACUAAAGAGUUAUAAGUAUGAAAUAGAUUUUAUUACACGAGAAAAAGGGAAAAGUAGAUACAUUGUAGGUACAUCUCUCGGCUCCUGACCCCGGAUUCCAGCCCUUCGACGUCUGACGCCGUAACUGCCGAUUCCUCCAGGCCGUCCUCCAGAUCGUCCUCCAGGCCGUCCUCCAGAUUGUCCGCCAGGCCGUCCUCCAGAUCGUCCUCCAGAUCGUCCUCCAGAUCGUCCUCCAGGCCGUCCUCCAGACCGCCCUCCAGAUCGUCCUCCAGAUCGUCCUCCAGACCGCCCUCCAGAUCGUCCUCCAGAUCGUCCUCCAGGCCGUCCUCCAGACCCUCCUCCAGGCCGUCCUCCAGAUCGUCCUCCAGAGAACUCCCGGUCACUCGACUGUGGUCCCCCGGACUGUCCUCUCCCUCCCACCCCAUAUUGUGUUUAGGUUAUUUCUCUGUAUGGCCCAACCACCCACCUUUGUGUUGAAUCAUUGACUCUUCUGUGUUGUGUUCCUAAAUAAAGUUUAUUUUG
ensembl:lncRNA